UCCAUCCUCGCUGUUCCGCUUCAGUGGCUAGUUGAGCAUACCGCAGUUUCUUCCUCUCAUACGCCUCAUCUACAGCAUCCUCCCAUGGCACUGUUAACUCUACCAGGUGAACAAGGCGUGCUGAUCCAGACCACAAGACAAUAUUUGGUCGAAGGAACCCCGACACAACAGACUGCUCAACACCGAUGAUGCAAUCUCUUCUGGGAUGUCUCGCGACAAUAAGCCGUGAGGCAAUCAAAUCAGUCUUUCUGAGCCUUGUCAUUGAAUAAGGCUAGGUACAAGGAACAAAAUGAUGUGUAUCCCUACAUGCCAAUUCUGAUGAUACACUUCAAAAUCACAGGAAACACAGCUUCAAGAGGAGGCUUACUUGACUACUGAGGAUUCUCAGGCCGUCUGCCUCCAAGCUUGGACU